rnacentral:ncRNA from 1 species
AAAAUGGGGAGCUGAACGUGAAUCGGCUGAGAACAGACUGUUCUGUCUGGACCCGUAACCUGAUUUGGAUAAUGCCAACGUAGGGAUAUUUA